rnacentral:rRNA from 1 species
GACGAACGCUGGCGGCGUGCUUAACACAUGCAAGUCGAACGGAAAGGCCUGCUUUCCCUUGUGGAUUGCGGGUACUCGAGUGGCGAACGGGUGAGUAACACGCGAGUGAUCUGCCCCCAACUUGGGUAUAAGCCUGGGAAACUGGGUCUAAUUCCCGAUAGGACUGCAGGGUGGUGCCUGUGGUGGAAAACGAUUUUCUAGUGGUUGGGGAUGAGCUCGCGGCCUAUCAGCUUGUUGGUGGGGUAAUGGCCUACCAAGGCGGCGACGGGUAGCCGGCCUGGGAGGGUGGACGGCGACAUUGGGACUGAGAUACGGCCCAGACGCCUGCGGGAGGCAGCAGUGGGGGAUAGUGGACAAUAGGCGGGAGCCUGAAGCAGCGACGCCGCGAGGAGGAUGACGGCCUUCGAGUUGUAAACUCCUUUCGACCGCGAGGAAGCCACCUGGUUGGGAGGGUGGUGACGGUAGUGGUAGAAGAAGCACCGGCUAACUACGUG